AUGGCUUCGCAGGAUAAAGGUAGGCCAUUGCCUAAAUUUGGUGAGUGGGAUGUGAACAAUCCUGCCUCAGCGGAAGGUUUUACUGUCAUUUUCAACAAGGCUAGAGACGAGAAGAAGACCAAUACGGCCGUCCACGUUGCUACCCCGCGUAAACCUGAUCCUGUCUUCCAAAACGACGAUUUUCCUCGAAAGAGUAAGUGGUUUUGCUGCGGUUGA